GAGACGCUCGCGAGCGUCCUCUGAGCCUCACCUGUAAGACGGGCUCCUGCCCCAGGGGGCGCGGGAGGCCUGAAUGAGGUGUCCGUAUGCAGUGAUAGAGUGCUUAUCACGGUGCGCAGUCCCGGCGUGGGCAGCCAGCCCGAGGAGGCGUUCUUAGCUGUAUGGUGGGAAUUAAGUGAGAAAGUAACCCCAAAGAACCUGCACUUAACUAGGACUUGGGAAGCGGUAGCCAUGCCUUCUCAACUACGACGCUCGAGCAGCUGCGCCUUCAGAAACACACCCCCUUAGCGCCUGCUGCUUCUGAGGGCAGGUGGGCAGGGAGAAGGCAUUUGCAUGAUCCCACACCCGGGCUCUGAGGCCACGAGCACAAGUACGGCUCGUCCUGACCGAGCAAAGCGAGUGCAGCACACACUCCUAAGCAGUAACCCUAACAGCCAGCAGGUGAAGGCCCUGCAACCUCCAGAAAAAUUGAGCCCCCAUCUCUGCUCACUCUUCAUCUAACCAAAAUACAUGACUGCCCACCAGUGAGGGCCAGCCUGCAAGCUAUUUUGAGGGCAAACAGAACUGACCAGCAUGAGACCAAAGGUCUAAGUACGAAUCAGAAGCAAACCAAUAGGAUUUUGUUGCUCAGAGGCCCCAACACACCAAACAUCUCUCCAGCCCUUCCUAUUUUCAAAAUAGGGGAACAGAUCAAGGAGGAGGAGGAAUCCUCUGGAAAGGCUUCAGGGAGGUCAGGACACUGUGCAGAUGUGUACCAGACUGACAGCCGUGCUGCUGGGUGUCCACGUACCUAGCACUCGCUCUCCAAGGCCGCCCAGCUCCAGGUAGGCGUUCUGAAAGGCAUCCUUCAGCUCCUCAUCCAGGGGCUGCUCCUUGCCGUGCAGGAGGAUGGAGCUGCAGCGGUCCAAGAUCCUUUCUGGGGCACCCUUCAUCACCAACAGGUGUCGGGGCUCAGACGUGUUGAGGUUCUUGUGGAUGGACAGCUGUAAAGGACGGUGGACAUGAACGCCGGUGGCUGCGUGUGGCGGUCGGAGCGGGGAGCACAGCUCGCUCACUACUUAGUAUGUGUCAAGACAACCACCAAGGUCUCCUAUUUCUGAACUCUGGUGUCCCACGGCUUGCAGCAUACUUUGAAUGCUACCCAAAAAACCAGCACAGUGAUGUCGUUCUAAAUCCCUGGCACGUGUUCAUACGUAAACCUUUCCUGAAGGUAAACUGGGAACAAAGGGAUGGGCACAUGCGUGGACACCUCGCCCCCUCGCCGCACCCGCACUCCAAACCAGAAGUAAGAAUUCCAGAGGGCCCCAACACUCAAACGACUUAGGAUUUUCUAUACCUAGUCCAGGGCAAAAUCUAAGAGCUUGCAUAAAGUUGGGAGAAUUCAUUUUUUGAAAGCACUUAAGCUUGUAACAUUUCAAAUGGGAAAACAGCUCUCCUUCUGGCUUCCAUUCCUCCCCGCCUGCCCCUCGCCACCACUAGGCCACCUGGUACUUGUUGGUGGAGUUGAAGGGGAUCUCCACGAUCUUGGCGUAUCGCUCUCUCAUCUCCCUCACUGAGCCACAGCACACCUCGAUACAUUUCAAGAGCGCGGACUCCGAGGCGUCGCCUGCAACUGCCCGCUGCAAAGCAGAGACAACAUCUGUGGGUCAGCCUGAAACGCUUCCCCCGGGCACCACUGAACACCAGGGAAGUCACCCGGAUGUACUCCGACCUGGUCAGAAGUGGAGGACAGGGCAGGCCAGGGGAAGCAGCACUGUGCAGCGACUGGCCUCCCUCUGCUCAGACACACACCCCAGCCGCCUCCUCCUGUCUGCCCUCCUUCCCCACCCCAAUUCCAGCUUUUGGUAGAAGAGGGGCACCUGAAGGGGUCACCCACCCUUGGGAGGAGCACAACACACUCUUCUAACCUA